AAGUCUGGAGAAAGCAGCCUGCAGCAGCAGUCAUCAGCAACAGCAGCAGCAGCAGCACCUGUGAUGUUGUUUUGAGAGUGUUGUGAGCUGCACCACAAGGUGCUUGACGAACUGCCCCGCUAGGCAUACUCCCAGUCAUUGGUGGUGGUGCUUGUGCCCGUUUUGAUCGGAUUGGAAAAUAAACAAACAAACAAAAAAAAAAAACAACGGAUGAAGUGGAGCGGUGAGGGUGCGCAUCUUCAUUGUCGCCGGGAAGACGGAGAUCACUGGGUGAUGUAGCUUUGACGGGAAGAAAUUUGAAAGGUUCGGAUUGCUUGGAUGGAAUUGUGAUGCAUCGCAGUAAAUAGUUUGUCAACUUGUUCACGUGAAACAGAACAACUAUCGGUUGAUGAAAAAAGCUGUAAUUCUAUAUUUCAUCACUGCCAAAGAAGAUAUCCAGAAAAAUGGACGCAGGAGUCACGUUCCUCCCUCCAAUUAAAAACAAGUGUUUCAAUGCUGUGGACACUCCAAAACACUGCGUAAACCUCCAGUUCCACUUUUCCGCCUUACAAUUACUCGUUAGGCCUAAACUUAUCCCAGUUUCCACCCACGUUACAAAUUCGUAACCAAACCAAACCAUCCCAGAUUAGCAGCUCGCGUUUGAGUACGGAAUUACAGUGGCCUCUAACCGCAUUUUCCACACUUUACUACAAUAUUUUGAUCCGCUCGAAGCCAUCCCGCUCUGCGACACCCAACCCGUCAUCUACUACUGCUACUAUCACGCUCACCUAUCCCCGACGACGAUGACGACGACGAAGUCGGCGAGUUAGCAUGGGAAUGCAUCGUCCACAAACCGGGGGUUUGUGGUGUAACCUGUUUUUUUUCUUCUCGCCGUCGCUGUUUUUCCAGAUCGGGAAAGUGCAAAAUUAGCACAUCGCAACAGAAAACAAAGCCACGAACGGCUACUGUUACACACAUCUGCCACAUUUGCGCUUGCUACCUUCUUCACACGUGUGCCUCUGGCGAUGGUAUAGGAAUAAUCGGGAGAUCUUUGCUGGACGCGGUAGGGUCCUACUACUCCCGCCAGAACAGGUUCCUUUCAACAGCACGCAAACGAUGGUCCCAUUCAGUCAGAUCACACACACAGACGUUGACCACCGCAGUUGGAGAGCAAGUGGCAUCACUCGCUGGUUCCGAGCGACGGAUGCUCUAGAUUUCGCUCUGCGAGCUGCUGCUGCUGCUUGGUUAAGCGGCUUAACUUAACAGCUGCCUUGACCCGAAUACCGACCGGAUUAGCGUUAUCCCGAGUUGUUUCGUUGCGCGAUAAACCGCGAGCGGAACGAGGUCAAUCGGUUUGACUUGUAGGAGGUAUUAACUUUCUAUUGGAAGAAAGGUAUAGAAAUUGUUUCAAUUUUAUGAAUGUUUUCAUCUUAGCUAAAUAGUAAUCCAGUAUUUUUUCAGAAAAGCUCACCGAACGAAGAACAUCAAUGGAGCUGAGGUUGUCAGCAACGUUGAAGCAAUGAUCUGUUAGCAUUCCUGAUUUCUAGACUGUAGUGAGUAAUUCUGGGAAGUAGACUGAAGCAGAUUCAUUGAACUUAUAGGAAGUGGCAAUAUUUUAAUUUAAGAUACCGAAGUCAAAAGAUUUAAUCCGUCUCUAUAGUCUAUAGUCUCUUUCGGAACUUAUUAAAAUAAAAAUAUUUGGGACCAAUU